rnacentral:ncRNA from 1 species
UAAAUUGAGAGUUUGAUCCUGGCUCAGGACGAACGCUGGCGGCGUGCCUAACACAUGCAAGUCGAGCGAUGAAGCCCUUCGGGGUGAAUUAGCGGCGGACGGGUGAGUAACACGUGGGUAACCUGCCUUAUAGAGGGGGAUAGCCUUCCGAAAGGAAGAUUAAUACCGCAUGAAAUGUUUUUAUCGCAUGGUAGAAACAUCAAAGGAGUAAUCCGCUAUAAGAUGGACCCGCGGCGCAUUAGCUAGUUGGUGAGGUAACGGCCCACCAAGGCGACGAUGCGUAGCCGACCUGAGAGGGUGAUCGGCCACAUUGGAACUGAGACACGGUCCAGACUCCUACGGGAGGCAGCAGUGGGGAAUAUUGCGCAAUGGGGGAAACCCUGACGCAGCAACGCCGCGUGAAUGAAGAAGGCCUUAGGGUUGUAAAGUUCUGUUUUCUGGGACGAUAAUGACGGUACCAGAGGAGGAAGCCACGGCUAACUACGUGCCAGCAGCCGCGGUAAUACGUAGGUGGCAAGCGUUGUCCGGAUUUACUGGGCGUAAAGGAUGCGUAGGCGGAUGUUUAAGUGAGAUGUGAAAUACCC